GGCGGACGGGUGAGUAACGCGUAAGAACUUGCCCUUUAGACUGGGAUAACAGAGGGAAACUUCUGAUAAUACUGGAUAAGUUAGUAUAUCGCAUGAUAUGCAAAAUGAAAGCUACGGCACUAAAGGAGAGCUUUGCGUCCUAUUAGCUAGUUGGUAAGGUAAGAGCUUACCAAGGCGAUGAUAGGUAGCCGGCCUGAGAGGGUGGACGGCCACAAGGGGACUGAGAUACGGCCCUUACUCCUACGGGAGGCAGCAGGU
rnacentral:rRNA from 1 species